rnacentral:rRNA from 1 species
ACGGAAGGUCCAGGCGUUAUCCGGAUUUAUUGGGUUUAAAGGGAGCGUAGGCCGUCUGUUAAGCGUGUUGUGAAAUGUAGAUGCUCAACAUCUGAAUUGCAGCGCGAACUGGCAGACUUGAGUGUGCGCAACGUAGGCGGAAUUCGUGGUGUAGCGGUGAAAUGCUUAGAUAUCACGAAGAACUCCGAUUGCGAAGGCAGCUUACGGGAGCACAACUGACGCUGAAGCUCGAAAGUGCGGGUAUCGAACAGGAUUAGAUACCCUGGUAGUCCGCACGGUAAACGAUGGAUGCCCGCUGUUGACCCACCUGGGCCAGCGGCCAAGCGAAAGCAUUAAGCAUCCCACCUGGGGAGUACGCCGGCAACGGUG